rnacentral:misc_RNA from 1 species
AUACAAUCAAAAUAAAACAGAGCAGAGUAGUACUGAACACUCUAUUUCGUGUAAUUUCACGAGUAGAGUCUCAGAAAAAGAAAUGGCGAUUAAAAGGGAAGCAAAAUGUUGGAUGGAAGUUGCUGUUCCAGUAGUAGUAAAGGCACCAAAUAAGAUUUCAGUUUCUCCCAAACUGGACGCUAUAUUUGAAGAAGCAGAAGAAGAUGAUUUUGAGGAUUGAUUUAAUAAUAUUUCUAGGUAGGGGAAUUCUGUUUUUUAUUUUAUUUUCCCUAAAAAUUUUGGUUUAAUUAAUUAGAUAUGUGAUUUUGUAUUUCAUCAUUUGAGUAUUGUUAAGAAUUGAAAUAACUCUA